GCCUAUGUAGCUCAGGGGUAGAGCAUUCCCUUGGUAAGGGAAAGGUCAUGAGUUCAAAUCUCAUCAUAGGCU
rnacentral:tRNA from 1 species